CUUGUUCGCCGAUCAUAAUUUAAGCAGUCGCGUUAACGUAGUCUUUUAUUUUUCUUUUUUUAUAUAUUUAUUUUUUUGAAUAUUCGUUUUCGGUAUUAGAGUCAGUGCCUCCCUCAAGAGGAUAAAGCCUCUCCAGGAGCUCAAGAAUACACAUCACAGCUUCAACUUCUUCAUCUUCUUUGGGAAUGUUCUAACAGUGGCUGAAAAGCCAAGAAUGUAAGUAUUUUUGCAUAUCGUACUUCAAUUAUGUCCAUUCUGUAUAUUAUUCUUUCAUCACUAUCAUUUAAGAGAUACAAUUUGAUUGA
rnacentral:misc_RNA from 1 species